UAGAGCAAAGUUAUAUAAUAGUAGGUUUAAUGGGAUAUCCUCAGAGAACUAUGGUGGUAGCUAGUGUAGAAGAGCAUCCAUCAGUUGGUAGAAUUCAGCUUUUCAGUAGCCUUUUCUCCACAUUUGAAUUUCCCUAUCAGAAGAGCUAACCCCUGGUCUCUUACUGCAAGUUAUUCCAAUCUACAGAAGCAAUUGCAUGAGAAGAUAAUUUACAGGAACAGAGAAAUCUGGGCAAGCAUCAAACACACACAGCGUCUGAGACUGGUGACAGCUUUCCCAGUGGAUACUAGGGACCUUGAACUAUUUCUCACAGAUAUUUACUGGAGAAGAGAAACUUCCAGAUGGACUACAAUUACUAGAAUUGAGCAGAUGAUUUUGUAACAGAAUUAGAACUGAUUGGAUUUACCUCUGCAAUUUUAAGAGCACUCUGAGAAAUAUUCUGAUUUAAUCUAGAGUAUUUCCUCUGUACUGAUGAGAAGAUAACCUAAAUUUUCAGAAAAGGGCCUUUCAUUCAACUUAAUGUUAAUUGCAUUGAAAAUACAAUGGAAUAUAUGUAAAUGACACAGUGAUUGAUAUAAAGCAAUCUGAAUGAGGGUUAUGUCUGUUUAUUUGGAACUUGGUUUUCCUUGCCUCUGAACUUUGUACAUCGCAGUCUAGAGAGGGGACAAAUCUGAUUUUUAGGUUACUGUAUGUCUGUAUUAUAGCUUCAACCCAGAAUCUCACAGAGGAAUCAGGGAAACCUCAAUGUACUCUGAUUUAUAUUCAUUUGCAAAUUUCCCUGAUGAAAAAUAGCUGGAGAGCAGCAGGACUGGGCUGAGCUUCAGCCUUUUCCCAGCACUUGUCCUGAGCUUC